rnacentral:tRNA from 1 species
GGAGGGUAUAGCUCAGUGGUUGAGUGCAUGCCUAGCAUGCAUGAGGUCCUGGGUUCAAUCCCCAGUACCUCCA